GAGUGGUUUGGAUGUGGGGGCUUUGCUGGCCUUUCAAAAGGUUCAGCUCCCCUGAAAUGCAUUAGCAGAACAACCUUGCUCAUUGGUGUGAUAACUAUCUACGCUUAUGAAUGUGAGGGGCAGUUCAGCUUUCUAACAGUCUUUGGACAAAUCAUCAUUAAUGUGACCUCAAAUCAGGUAGGACUACCCGCUGAACUUAA
rnacentral:misc_RNA from 1 species